CUCUUAUUCAGAGUGGUGGAGGUACAAAGGACCUGUGAAGCUACGGCAACCCCGUUAAUCUGACGGAAGGUGCCAACCUGAGCGAGUUACUAUUUGCGGCAAGUACAGUAGCAAUAGUUCGAACAAUAAGAG
rnacentral:ncRNA from 2 species